CCCCUCUCAGGGUUGCACCUGGAGAGUUUCCAGUACUCUACCAGUCGUGACUAUGGGAGGAAGAGACAAGCAGUGGCGUAUCUAUUCCAUUCCUAGCCUGGGCAGUGACUAGCAAGUGGAAGACAAUCUGCUACAAGU